rnacentral:tRNA from 1 species
AGAGUAUAGCUCAGUGGUAGAGUGCGUGCUUAGCAUGCACGAGGUCCUGGGUUCAAUCCCCAGUACCUCCA